UACGGAGGGUGCAAGCGUUAAUCGGAAUUACUGGGCGUAAAGCGCACGCAGGUGGCUGAGAAAGUCGAUUGUGAAAGCCCUGGGCUUAACCUGGGAAUUGCAGUCGAAACUACUCGGCUAGAGUAUGGGAGAGGGUAGUGGAAUUCCCGGUGUAGCGGUGAAAUGCGUAGAUAUCGGGAGGAACAUCAGUGGCGAAGGCGACUCGCUGGACAGACAUUGACGUUGAGGUGCGAAAGCGUGGGGAGCAAACAGG
rnacentral:rRNA from 1 species